AGAGUUUGAUCAUGGCUCAGAACAAACGCUGGCGGCGUGCUUAACACAUGCAAGUCGUACGAGAAAGUCCGCUUCGGCGGAUGAGUAAAGUGGCGCACGGGUGCGUAACACGUGGGUAAUCUGCCCUUCAGUGGGGAAUAACUCGCCGAAAGGCGGGCUAAUACCGCAUAAUACCGUUUCCACCCCGGUGGGACGGUCAAAGACAGCCUCUGUUUACAAGCUGUCGCUGAAGGAUGAGCCCGCGGCCUAUCAGCUAGUUGGUGGGGUAAUGGCUCACCAAGGCUGUGACGGGUAGCUGGUCUGAGAGGAUGGCCAGCCACACUGGAACUGAGACACGGUCCAGACUCCUACGGGAGGCAGCAGUGGGGAAUCUUGGGCAAUGGGGGCAACCCUGACCCAGCGACGCCGCGUGAGUGAGGAAGGUCUUCGGAUCGUAAAGCUCUGUCGGAUGGGAAGAAAUGUGUGGAAGUGAACAGCUUCCAUGCUUGACGGUACCAUCAGAGGAAGCACCGGCUAACUCCGUGCCAGCAGCCGCGGUAAUACGGGGGGUGCAAGCGUUGUUCGGAAUCAUUGGGCGUAAAGGGCGUGUAGGCGGCUGGAUAAGUCAGAUGUGAAAUCCCUGGGCUUAACCCAGGAAGUGCGUUUGAAACUGUCCGGCUUGAGUGAGGGAGAGGAAAGUGGAAUUCCUGGUGUAGAGGUGAAAUUCGUAGAUAUCAGGAGGAACACCGGUGGCGAAGGCGACUUUCUGGCCCUAUACUGACGCUGAGACGCGAAAGCGUGGGGAGCAAACAGGAUUAGAUACCCUGGUAGUCCACGCUGUAAACGAUGUUCACUAGGUGUUGGGGGUAUUGACCCCCUCAGUGCCGUAGCUAACGCAUUAAGUGAACCGCCUGGGGAGUACGGUCGCAAGACUAAAACUCAAAGGAAUUGACGG
rnacentral:rRNA from 1 species